AUUGAACGCUGGCGGCAUGCUUUACACAUGCAAGUCGAACGGUAACAGGCCGCAAGGUGCUGACGAGUGGCGAACGGGUGAGUAAUGCAUCGGAACGUGCCCAGUCGUGGGGGAUAACUACUCGAAAGAGUAGCUAAUACCGCAUACGAUCUAUGGAUGAAAGCGGGGGACCGUAAGGCCUCGCGCGAUUGGAGCGGCCGAUGUCAGAUUAGGUAGUUGGUGGGGUAAAGGCUCACCAAGCCAACGAUCUGUAGCUGGUCUGAGAGGACGACCAGCCACACUGGGACUGAGACACGGCCCAGACUCCUACGGGAGGCAGCAGUGGGGAAUUUUGGACAAUGGGCGCAAGCCUGAUCCAGCAAUGCCACGUGCAGGAAGAAGGCCUUCGGGUUGUAAACUGCUUUUGUACGGAACGAAACGGCUCUGGUUAAUACCCGGGGCUAAUGACGGUACCGGAAGAAUAAGCACCGGCUAACUACGUG
rnacentral:rRNA from 1 species